GGCUCCAUAGUGUAGUGGUUAGCACAUCUGCUUUACACGCAGAAGGUCCUGGGUUUGCACCCCAAGUGGAGCCA
rnacentral:tRNA from 1 species